AGCGAACGCUGGCGGCAGGCCUAACACAUGCAAGUCGAACGAACCUUUCGGGGUUAGUGGCGGACGGGUGAGUAACACGUGGGAACGUGCCUUUAGGUUCGGAAUAACUCAGGGAGACUUGUGCUAAUACCGAAUGCGCCCUUCGGGGGAAAGAUUAAUCGCCUUUAGAGCGGCCCGCGUCUGAUUAGCUAGUUGGUUGAGGUAAUGGCUCACCAAGGCGACGAUCAGUAGCUGGUCUGAGAGGAUGAUCAGCCACAUUGGGACUGAGACACGGCCCAAACUCCUACGGGAGGCAGCAGUGGGGAAUCUUGCGCAAUGGGCGAAAGCCUGACGCAGCCAUGCCGCGUGAAUGAUGAAGGUCUUAGGAUUGUAAAAUUCUUUCACCGGGGACGAUAAUGACGGUACCCGGAGAAGAAGCCCCGGCUAACUUCGUG
rnacentral:rRNA from 1 species